AACUCAGAAGCUGCAAGCCUGACAUAGAGAGUCUUUCCACUGGGGUCACCAUCUGCAAGCUGUCGUAGAUUCAAGAGAUCUCCAAUCCAAAUUGAACAGUUGCUGUUGCUGUUGUCAAAUGCAUAUGCAGUACAAGAGCAGUUACUCAAGCAGUUUGAUUCACAUUCUUGAGAAGUUCCCACAUUCAGUACUUGUGAAUUUGCAGGCAAUUCCAUACUGGGACUUGCCAUAAACUUGUCUCUCUUCCCAUUAACAAGACUAGAAUUCCCACACUGCAAAUUUGUUUUCCUUGUGCACCCGCCAGAAUAAACCUCCGAAUUCCACUCAUCUACCAACUUGGGAUCAAAACCUGUCAAACAAUUACAAAAGGGCUGGGACUUGGCAUUGCAGCUGCCAAACGCCCCACAAUAAGCAUAAACCUCACAUUGCACUCUGGGUUGAUUCCAAAACAAAUUCCAUUGAUUGGCAGGCAGCAACCACGACAUCUGCUGAAUCUGCCCCCCAACAUCCAUCACGAAUCGAGAUAUGAGAGAAUUAUUGUACAAAGAAUAGGUGAAAUAGUUCUCGCUUGCAUUACUAAAAUAACUGAAGUUAUAGAUAUAAUUCAGUCUCAUUUCAGGCACUAGGCUAAAGAUUUGCCCAUUCCAAGUUCCACUAGUCCAAAAAAUUUUUGACAUAUUCCACAGGAUAUAAUAUUGACUGGUUCCGUUUGGGUCUAGCUCAAGAGAGAAGAGACCUGGUGUAGGAUCUUCUUUGUUCUUCCAUGAAAUAAGACGUGUGGGUUCUCCAGUAAUUUUGUUCAAUCCAAUCUUGGCGCCAGGUAGCCAUGUAUCGGCUGGGUGAUCAAAACUCUGCCAUAAA
rnacentral:misc_RNA from 1 species